AAUAAAUAAAUAAAUAAAUAAAGAGGAUGGCCUGUUUUUUCUAAUCAGCACCCUAAAGAAUCAGAUGCCACUGUUUUUUUUUUUUUACCCUCACAGAAUCUGGCAGCAAUCCAGUUGCUUAGAGUUUGGGUAUAAACCUGAACUAUUCAUCAGAAUCAGAAAUUAAUUAAGAACAUCACAGGAAAGAAGCUCAUAGGAAAUAACCAUAGAAACUUGAAGACAAACAGGAAAAUGGGACAAGGCAAGUGAAAUAUGCAAUUGGUUGUCAUACUCUGUACAGCUAAAAGAAUGCAACUUCUACUUGAUAAUGAUGACAUUUGCUGAAAUAUCAAUAAAAGACUUUUGUUAACAUUGAAAAAAGGGUGGAGAUGGAUUUAUGCCUGAACCAUACAUCCUUUUCCAAGCUGUGUAUUCCAGUUUCAUUUUAUAAAAUUAAAUAUUUAAUUCAAUGCUCAUUUUGAAAAUCAUGCUCAAAGUACCACACAAUUAAAAUAAGUCAAAUGCAAAAGUGCCCUAAAGAGUUUCUAAAUUUUGCAUUUCCAUAGCAAACCAAACAUGCAAGAGGAAACCUGAAAAUCCCGUCUUUAAUUGUAAAUGCAAAAAUAUCUGCAAGGCAGCAUAUAUAUAUAU
rnacentral:misc_RNA from 1 species